rnacentral:rRNA from 1 species
UACGUAGGGGUGCGAGCGUUGUCCGGAAUUAUUGGGCGUAAAGAGCUCGUAGGCGGUCUGUCGCGUCUGCUGUGAAAAUCCAGGGCUCAACCCUGGACCUGCAGUGGGUACGGGCAGACUAGAGUGGCGGUAGGGGAGAUCGGAAUUCCUGGUGUAGCGGUGAAAUGCGCAGAAUAUCGAGGAGGAACACCAAUGGCGAAGGGCAGCUCGCUGGGGACGUGACUGACGCUGAGACGCGAAAGCGUGGGGAGCAAACAGG